rnacentral:rRNA from 1 species
GACGAACGCUGGCGGCGUGCCUAAUACAUGCAAGUCGAACGCAGUGGGGACGGGUGAGUAACACGUGGGUAACCUCCCAUCAGAGGGGAUAACACUUGGAAACAGGUGCUAAACCGAUACUGAUGGAUGGACCCGCGGUUCAGUAGCUAGUUGGUGAGGUAACGGCUCACCAAGGCCACGAUGCAUAGCCGAUCUGAGAGGAUGAUCGGCCACACUGGGACUGAGACACGGCCCAGACUCCUACGGGAGGCAGCAGUAGGGAAGAUUCGGCAAUGGACGAAAGCCUGACCGAGCAACGCCGCGUGAGUGAAGAAGGUUUUCGGAUCGUAAAACUCUGUUGUUAGAGAAGCGUUAUCUAACCAGAAAGCCACGGCUAACUCCGUGCCAGCAGCCGCGGUAAUUC